rnacentral:pre_miRNA from 1 species
CGAGCCUUCCGGUCCUGAAGUUUGCUCAGAUGAUCCAGAUGUUAGUCGCCCGCAUGGAAAGCAAUUAACAUUUGGAUCAUCUGAGCGAUAUUCGAGGAUGCUAUUCGAAGCCUGUACUCCUUAUUCCAUCUACUGCAC